rnacentral:rRNA from 1 species
CGGUAAUUCCAGCUCCAAUAGCGUAUACUAAAGUUGUUGCAGUUAAAAAGCUCGUAGUUGGAUUUCUGCGGGGACGGAGCGGCCGGACGCAACUUGCGUCUCGAGCUAGCGCUUUCCCCGCAUCUUGCCGCGAACCGUGCUACCAUUAGCUCGGUGGCGCUGGGGAUCGGCUCGAUUACUUUGAGAAAAAUAGAGUGUUCAGAGCAGGCCACACGCCUUGAAUAAGUUAGCAUGGAAUAAUGACUAAGGACUUCGGUUCUAUUUUGUUGGUGUUCGGGACUGAAGUAAUGAUUGAUAGGGACAGUUGGGGCGGUCUGUAUUCCAAAGCGAGAGGUGAAAUUCUUAGACCUUCGGAAGACAAACAGCUGCGAAAGCGUUCCGCAAGGAUGUUCCCUUUGAUCAAGAACGAAAGUUGGGGGAUCGAAGACGAUCAGAUACCGUCGUAGUCUCAACUAUAAACUAUACCAGCUAGGGAUCGGUCAACGUUUAAUCAUUCGACUUGAUCGGCACCUUAUGAGAAAUCAAAGCAUCUGGGUUCCGGGGGGAGUAUGGUCGCAAGGCUGAAACUUAAAGGAAUUGACGGAAGGGCACCACCAGCCGUGGAGCCUGUGGCUUAAUUUGACUCAACACGGGAAAACUUACCAGGUCCAGACAUAGUAAGGAUUGACAGAUUGAUAGCUCUUUCUUGAUUCUGUGGGUGGUGGUGCAUGGCCGUUCUUAGUUGGUGGAGUGGUUUGUCUGGUUAAUUCCGUUAACGAACGAGACCCCAGCCUGCUAAAUAGCGCGGCUGAGCUUUGCUCGGUGCGAGCUUCUUAGAGGGACUAUGAUGCGCGAUAGCACAUGGAAGUUUGGGGCAAUAACAGGUCUGUGAUGCCCUUAGAUGUUCUGGGCCGCACACGGGCUACACUGGCGCCUGCAACGAGCAUAUCAGCUGGCCCGAGAGGGUCUUGGCUAAUCUUUUGAACCGGCGCCGUGCUUGGGAUUGACCAUCGCAAUUGUUGGUCAUGCAACGAGGAAUGCCUUGUAAACGCGAGUCAUCAGCUCGCAUUGAAUACGUCCCUGCCCUUUGUACACACCGCCCGUCGCUCCUACCGAUGAAUGUUCCGAUGAAAUUUUCGGAGAGCGCCAGAGAACGGGGCUCUGCCUUGCAGAUCUGGAGGCUCAAAGUCACUUAAAUCUGAACAUUUCGAGGAAGGAGAAGUCGUAACAAGGUAGCCG